GUGCCAGCAGCCGCGGUAAUACGUAGGUGGCAAGCGUUAUCCGGAAUUAUUGGGCGUAAAGCGCGCGCAGGUGGUUCCUUAAGUCUGAUGUGAAAGCCCCCGGCUCAACCGGGGAGGGUCAUUGGAAACUGGGGAACUUGAGUGUAGAAGAGGAAAGUGGAAUUCCACGUGUAGCGGUGAAAUGCGUAGAGAUGUGGAGGAACACCAGUGGCGAAGGCGACUUUCUGGUCUAUAACUGACACUGAGGCGCGAAAGCGUGGGGAGCAAACAGGAUUAGAAACCCGCGUAGUCC
rnacentral:rRNA from 1 species